rnacentral:rRNA from 1 species
UGCCAGCCGCCGCGGUAAUACGGAGGGUGCAAGCGUUAAUCGGAAUUACUGGGCGUAAAGCGCACGCAGGCGGUUAAUUAAGCUAGAUGUGAAAGCCCCGGGCUCAACCUGGGAACUGCAUUUAGAACUGGUUGACUAGAGUACGAGAGAGGGGGGUAGAAUUCCAGGUGUAGCGGUGAAAUGCGUAGAUAUCUGGAGGAAUACCGGUGGCGAAGGCGGCCCCCUGGCUCGAUACUGACGCUCAGGUGCGAAAGCGUGGGGAGCAAACAGGAUUAGAUA